rnacentral:rRNA from 1 species
UACGAAGGACCCGAGCGUUAUCCGGAUUUAUUGGGUUUAAAGGGUGCGUAGGCGGAUUAGUAAGUCAGUGGUGAAAGCCCGUCGCUUAACGGCGGAACUGCCAUUGAUACUGCUAGUCUUGAGUAUGGUUGAGGUGGGCGGAAUGUGUCAUGUAGCGGUGAAAUGCUUAGAUAUGACCCAGAACACCAAUUGCGAAGGCAGCUCGCUAAGCCAUAACUGACGCUGACUGGCACGAAAGCGUGGGGAGCAAACAGG